UUGAACGCUGGCGGCAUGCUUUACACAUGCAAGUCGAACGGUAACAGGCCUUCGGGUGCUGACGAGUGGCGAACGGGUGAGUAAUGCAUCGGAACGUGCCCAAUCGUGGGGGAUAACGUAGCGAAAGUUACGCUAAUACCGCAUACGCCCUGAGGGGGAAAGCAGGGGAUCUUCGGACCUUGUGCGAAUGGAGCGGCCGAUGUCAGAUUAGCUAGUUGGUGGGGUAAAGGCCCACCAAGGCGACGAUCUGUAGCUGGUCUGAGAGGACGACCAGCCACACUGGGACUGAGACACGGCCCAGACUCCUACGGGAGGCAGCAGUGGGGAAUUUUGGACAAUGGGCGCAAGCCUGAUCCAGCAAUGCCGCGUGCAGGAAGAAGGCCUUCGGGUUGUAAACUGCUUUUGUACGGAACGAAAAGGUCUGGGUUAAUACCCUGGGCUCAUGACGGUACCGUAAGAAUAAGCACCGGCUAACUACGU
rnacentral:rRNA from 1 species